GGCUGGUCCAAGUGCAGUGGUGUUUACAACAAAUUGAUCACAACCAAUUACAGAUUCCUUUGUUCCUUCUCCACUCCUACUGCUUCACUUGACUAGCCUUAA
rnacentral:Y_RNA from 1 species